CAUUACCGAGUUUACAACUCCCAAACCCCUGUGAACAUACCUAUUGUUGCCUCGGCGGAUCAGCCCGGCCCCGGUAAAACGGGACGGCCCGCCAGAGGACCCUAAACUCUGUUUUUAGUGUAACUUCUGAGUAAAACAAACAAAUAAAUCAAAACUUUCAACAACGGAUCUCUUGGUUCUGGCAUCGAUGAAGAACGCAGCAAAAUGCGAUAAGUAAUGUGAAUUGCAGAAUUCAGUGAAUCAUCGAAUCUUUGAACGCACAUUGCGCCCGCCAGUAUUCUGGCGGGCAUGCCUGUUCGAGCGUCAUUUCAACCCUCAAGCACAGCUUGGUGUUGGGAUUUGCGGAGUAAUUCGCAGUCCCCAAAUCUAUUGGCGGUCACGUCGAGCUUCCAUAGCGUAGUAAUUACACCUCGUUACUGGUAAUCGUCGCGGCCACGCCGUUAAACCCCAACUUCUGAAUGUUGACCUCGGAUCAGGUAGGAAUACCCGCUGAACUUAAGCAUAUCAA
rnacentral:rRNA from 1 species